UACGUAGGUGGCGAGCGUUGUCCGGAAUUACUGGGUGUAAAGGGCGUGUAGGCGGGAAUGUAAGUCAGAUGUGAAAUCCCAGGGCUUAACUCUGGAGCUGCAUCUGAAACUAUAUUUCUUGAGUGCCGGAGAGGAAAGCGGAAUUCCUAGUGUAGCGGUGAAAUGCGUAGAUAUUAGGAGGAACACCAGUGGCGAAGGCGGCUUUCUGGACGGUAACUGACGCUGAGGCGCGAAAGCGUGGGGAGCAAACAGGAUUAGAUACCCUGGUAGUCCACGCUGUAAACGAUGGAUACUAGGUGUAGGAGGUAUCGACCCCUUCUGUGCCGGAGUUAACACAAUAAGUAUCCCACCUGGGGAGUACGGCCGCAAGGUUGAA
rnacentral:rRNA from 1 species